rnacentral:rRNA from 1 species
AUACGUAGGUGGCAAGCGUUGUCCGGAAUUAUUGGGCGUAAAGGGAGCGCAGGCGGGAAGGUAAGUCGGUCUUAAAAGUGCGGGGCUCAACCCCGUGAUGGGAUCGAAACUAUCUUUCUUGAGUGCAGGAGAGGAAAGUGGAAUUCCUAGUGUAGCGGUGAAAUGCGUAGAUAUUAGGAAGAACACCAGUGGCGAAGGCGAUUCUCUGGACUGUAACUGACACUGAGGCACGAAAGCGUGGGUAGC